rnacentral:rRNA from 1 species
CCUUCGGGUCGUAAAGCUCUGUCAGUGGGAAAGAAAUGCACGAGGGUCAAUACCCCUUGUGCUUGACGGUACCCACAAAGGAAGCACCGGCUAACUCCGUGC